ACUCAAAGGAAUUGACGGGGACCCGCACAAGCAGCGGAGUGUGUGGUUUAAUUCGAUGCGACGCGAAGAACCUUACCUGGAUUCAAUCAGCAUUGCACCGCCGGUAAUGCGGCGUACCCGCAAGGGACAGUGCUGAAGGUGCUGCAUGGCUGUCGUCAGCUCGUGCCGUGAGGUGUUGGGUUAAGUCCCCUAACGAGCGCAACCCCUGGGAUUGGUUAUCUGUCCAGUCCGACUGCCUCGCACAACGAGGAGGAAGGCGGGGAUGAAGUCAAGUCAGCACGGCCCUUACGACCAGGGCGACACACACACUACAAUGGCGCGGACAAUGGGUUGCGCGGUGGUGACACCCAGCCAAUCCCCAAACCGCGUCUCAGUUCAGAUUGCAGGCUGCAACUCGCCUGCAUGAAGGAGGAGUUGCUAGUAACCGCCGGUCAGCAUACGGCGGUGAAUACGUUCCCGGGUCUUGCACACACCGCCCGU
rnacentral:rRNA from 1 species